ACGCUCGACACCUACGGGAUGCAGCAGUGAGGAAUAUUGGUCAAUGGGCGCUAGCCUGAACCAGCCAAGUAGCGUGAAGGAUGAAGGCUCUAUGGGUCGUAAACUUCUUUUAUAUAAGAAUAAAGUGCAGUAUGUAUACUGUUUUGUAUGUAUUAUAUGAAUAAGGAUCGGCUAACUCCGUGCCUGCAGCCGCGGUAAUCUGAGCGGGCUGGCAAGGC
rnacentral:rRNA from 1 species